rnacentral:rRNA from 1 species
AUGGUAGGCCAGGCGGUCGCCGACGCCGUGAUGGACCAAGCCGCGCUCUGCCUGCUCCUCCUCCGUCACCUUGGAAGCCUCGAUGAGGGAAUGCCCACGCCCACCACCAACCUCGCCUUCUCGCCGAUCUCCUUCCACGCAGUGCUCUCCCUCCUGGCCGCGGGUGCCUCCGGCGCCACGCGCGACCAGAUCGUCACCUUUCUCGGCCCCGCGGGCGCAGAGGCACACGCCGCGCUCGCGUCGAAGGUCGCAUCCUUCGUCCUCGCCGGGCGGGGGUUGGCCCAGGCCCACGGAGCCACCGGCGUCUGGGUCGACGCCUCGCUACGCCUCAGUCCUACGUUCGCCGACACGGCCGCCGCUGUCUACAAGGCCGACGCUCGAUCGGUGGACUUCAGCAACAAGCCCAGGGAGGCGAUGGCCGAGAUCAAUGAGUGGUUCGAGAGCAAAACACGCGGCCUCGUCAAGAACAUUGUCUCUGAGCGCGAUUGCGACGGCUCCACGGCGCUCGUCCUCGGCAACUCGGUCUUCUUCAGCGGCUACUGGAACUCCCCCUUCUUCCCAGGGGCCACCGAGGAAGGCAGGUUCUAUGUCAACGCCUCGCCGGAGGAUCACACUGUUCGCGUGCCGUUCAUGAAGGGGAGCCCGUUUCAGCAGAUCGGCGUCCACCCCGGCUUCAAGGUCCUGCGCAUGCCCUACCGCGGCGACUUUGGCGACAGCGACCCGUUGUUUGCCAUGUACAUCUACCUCCCCGACGACCGCGACGGCCUGCCGGCACUCGCGCGAACGCUCAGCGCCAGCCCCGCCGCGCUCCUGCACAGGUCGGUCGUGCCGGAGCAGCCCGUCCCGUUGGGCGAGCUCAAGAUCCCCAAGUUCGAGGUGUCGGUGAGGGUGGAGGCGUCGCGGAUGCUGCGUAACCUGGGGCUGGAGCUGCCGUUCCGUCGCUCCCGCGACUCGUUCUCGGAGAUGCUGAGCCCGCCGGCGCCUCCGGUGGCCGUCUCGUCCGUGGUCCACCAGUGCGUCGUCAAAGUCGAUGAGCGCGGGACCGUGGCCGCCGCAGGCACCGUGGCGAUGUCGGCGGGGUUUGGCAUGGUACGUGAUCGCCCUGUGGACUUCGUGGCAGAUCACCCUUUCGCCUUCUUCCUCAUGGAGGAUGUCAGUGGCGUGGUGGUAUUUGCAGGCCAUGUCGUCAAUCCUUUGAGCCACUGA